AACGAACGCUGGCGGCAUGCCUAACACAUGCAAGUCGAACGAUUGCCUUCGGGUGAUAGUGGCGCACGGGUGCGUAACGCGUGGGAAUCUGCCCUUAGGUUCGGAAUAACAGCUGGAAACGGCUGCUAAUACCGGAUGAUAUCGCGAGAUCAAAGAUUUAUCGCCUGAGGAUGAGCCCGCGUUGGAUUAGGUAGUUGGUGGGGUAAAGGCCUACCAAGCCGACGAUCCAUAGCUGGUCUGAGAGGAUGAUCAGCCACACUGGGACUGAGACACGGCCCAGACUCCUACGGGAGGCAGCAGUGGGGAAUAUUGGACAAUGGGCGCAAGCCUGAUCCAGCAAGGCCGCGGGAGUGAUGAAGGCCCUAGGGUGGUAAAGCUCUUUUACCCGGGAAGAUAAUGACUGUACCGGGAGAAUAAGCCCCGGCUAACUCCGU
rnacentral:rRNA from 1 species